CCUACGGGAUGCUGCAGUGGGGAAUAUUGGACAAUGGGCGAAAGCCUGAUCCAGCCAUGCCGCGUGUGUGAAGAAGGCCUUCGGGUUGUAAAGCACUUUCAGUGGGGAAGAAAGCCUUGGGGCUAAUACCCUCGAGGAAGGACAUCACCCACAGAAGAAGCACCGGCUAACUCCGUGCCAGCAGCCGCGGUAAUACGGAGGGUGCGAGCGUUAAUCGGAAUUACUGGGCGUAAAGCGCGCGUAGGCGGUCUGAUAAGCCGGUUGUGAAAGCCCCGGGCUCAACCUGGGAACGGCAUCCGGAACUGGCAGGCUAGAGUGCAGGAGAGGAAGGUAGAAUUCCCGGUGUAGCGGUGAAAUGCGUAGAGAUCGGGAGGAAUACCAGUGGCGAAGGCGGCCUUCUGGACUGACACUGACGCUGAGGUGCGAAAGCGUGGGUAGCAAACAGGAUUAGAUACCCUGGUAGUC
rnacentral:rRNA from 1 species